rnacentral:rRNA from 1 species
GAUCCUGGCUCAGGAUGAACGCUGGCGGCGUGCUUAACACAUGCAAGUCGAACGAUGAUGCCCACUUGUGGGUGGAUUAGUGGCGAACGGGUGAGUAACACGUGAGUAACCUGCCCUUAACUCUGGGAUAAGCCUGGGAAACUGGGUCUAAUACCGGAUAUGACUGACCGUCGCAUGGUGGUUGGUGGAAAGCUUUUUGUGGUUUUGGAUGGACUCGCGGCCUAUCAGCUUGUUGGUGAGGUAAUGG